AUUAUAUUGAGAAGAUACAAAGUUUCCUUCCACGCCAUCGUAAGGUGUAGGUCAUUUUUCAUUUGGCGGGGGCGUCCGUAGAAGAACGCGAAGAGUUAAUACACCAUUUCCCGGCGUCCAUAUUUUAGCUUUCCUCCUAUCUUCCCCGAUUCCAGACAGCCGUACCGGAGCCGAAGAACCUCAUCAUUCUUCUCUUUCCUUUCUCUCUCUGCCUUUGCCUUCAGCCUUCUUCUCAACUUUUCUUUCUCAAUUUUGUGAUUAAUUUAUUAUUACUACCAAUCACUACAGACUCGAUAGAGAAGAUUGCAUUAUGAGAAUCAAUCGAGGAACUAUACGGCUUGUUGAACAAGUCCGAACACUUGCCCUACACUGCCGCAAUGAUUCUUCAGGCAUUACUAAAAAUCCGUUACUUUCAUUACCAUCUGAUCCUCUUUCUUCUCUAUCUCUCCGUUUCUAUUCUAAAGGGGAAGUUCAAUCGCAGCAGCUAUCAAUGGAGCUUAUCAAGAUAAUGGAACAAAGGUUGACGGCUAUUGAGCUCAGAAACACUUUUCUUCUAAAUAUAAUCAAUCGGCCAGAAGCCCCACCAGCCGAGUACGCAAAGGCUAACAAGGAGCUUAAAAAACUCAGAGAUACGAUGAAUCUAAUAACUGAGUUGAGGUCUAAACAGAAGGAAAUUAAUGGUUUGAGAACGCUGAUGGAGGAAUCCUCAGAGGAUAGAGAUAUGUUUGAUAUGGCUACCGAGGAAUUGGAACAAGCAGUUGAAGAAGAGAAAAGAUUACAGCAGUUCUUGCUCAAGUCAUUACUUCCCAGAGAUGAUGCUGAUGAGAGGGAUUCCAUCCUGGAGGUGAGAGCAGGAACUGGUGGAGAUGAAGCUUCUUUGUUUGCCAUGGAUAUAUUCAAAAUGUAUGAGAGAUACGCACAGAAGAAAGGCUGGAAGUUUGAGGUGGUAGACAUAACAGAAUCAGAUCUAAAAGGAUAUAAGGAAGCCAUUGCUGCGAUAUCAGGUGCUGGGGUGUAUGGAAGACUUAAAUUUGAGAGUGGAAUUCACCGAGUACAGCGAGUUCCUGUGACAGAGAAAGCUGGACGAGUUCACACGAGUGCUAUUUCUGUAGCCAUUCUCCCUCAAGCAGACGAGGUAGAUGUAGAGUUGAAGAACGAGGACCUAAGAAUAGAUACGUUCAGAUCAGGCGGUUCAGGAGGUCAGCAUGCAAAUACCACAAAUAGUGCUGUUAGAGUGAUUCACGUUCCAACUGGGUUGACUGUGACCAUACAAGACGAGCGAUCCCAACAUAUGAACAAAGCAAAGGCGCUUAAAUUAAUAUGUGCAAAGCUAUACGAAAUGGAACGACGUAGAAUCCAGAGCAGUCGAUCGAAACUUCGAUCAGAACAGAUUGGUAGUGGGGACAGAUCGGAACGCAUCCGCACAUACAACUUUCCGCAGGGGCGGGUAACAGAUCAUCGAGUAGGCAUUACCGACCACUCAAUUGAGGAGGUAAUGCAGGGGGAGAAUCUGGAUAUAUUCGUGGACGCUCUGUUAUUGCAACAGGAAAUGGAUGCAAUUGCAUCCUUCACUUCUUCUUCUUCUUCGUAGUGGUAGUGAAGAGGAGAAGCAUUGCAUCAAUAAGAUCUCCCCACUUUGCAUUUGAUUCAGAGAUAGAUUUGACUCAUGAAGAAGAGACCCUCUGCAACGCAAUCUCGUGAAGAGAAGCAAUGACAACACUGAGGUGCUGAAAUGGAAGAGAUGUCGUGAGAGCAAGGAGGAAUGUGAUCAACGGGGGAGGCAAAGCUCAAGAAAGAUAAAGAAGAGGAAAGGAAAAGAAAAAAAACAAAGAUUUCAUCAAGAGAAAAAGAAAAAUAAGUAAUUUAAUGAUUUUCAUCGAUGAUGAUGUAAGCCUGAGGACAAAUUUCUUAACUUUCAUGAGCCAAUUUUUUCGUAAUGUUUAGUUCUUUUGGGUUUUUAUGUAAUCGUCUCGAAGGGAAAAGAGUUAAAUAUUGAAAUGCUAGAAAUGGGAGAAAUUGUUAGAAA